rnacentral:rRNA from 1 species
UACGGAAGGCAGCAGUGGGGAAUAUUGCACAAUGGGCGAAAGCCUGAUGCAGCUAUGCCGCGUGUAUGAAGAAGGCCUUAGGGUUGUAAAGUACUUUCAUCGGGGAGGAAAAAACAAAACUAAUAAUUUUAUUUCUUGACGUUACCUGAAAAAGAAGCACCGGCUAACUCCGUGCCAGCAGCCGCGGUAAUACGGAGGGUGCUAGCGUUAAUCAGAAUUACUGGGCGUAAAGAGCACGUAGGUGGUUUUUUAAGUCAGAUGUGAAAUCCCUGGGCUUAACCUAGGAACUGCAUUUUGAAACUGAAAUACUAGAGUAUCGUAGAGGGAGGUAGAAUUCUAGGUGUAGCGGUGAAAUGCGUAGAUAUCUGGAGGAAUACCUGUGGCGAAAGCGGGCCUCCUAAACGGAUACUGACACUGAGGUGCGAAAGCGUGGGGAGCAAACGAGGGAUUUAGGAUACC